AUGCUCACUUUGGCAGCACAUAUACUAAAAUUGGGAUGACACAGAGAAGAUUAGCAUGGCCCCUGCGCAAGGGUGACAUGCAAAUUCAUGAAGCGUUCCAUAUUUUU
rnacentral:snRNA from 1 species